UGUGCCGGCGCGGGGGGACGGGUCCUGCCCCUCCCCGGGCGGCCAUCGCCAUCCCAGCCCGUCCCCUUGGGAUGAGGGAGAUGGGGUGUUUGGGGUGGGGAAGGGAGCGCUGAGGGGAGACCUCGUUCGUGUAUAAAAACAUCUGAGGGGGGGGUGUCAAAAGGAUGGGGUCCGUCUCACUUCAGUUGUGCCCAGCCACAGGACGAGAGGCAGCGGGCACAAACAGGAGCACAGUUGGUUCUGG